rnacentral:ncRNA from 1 species
GCAAAGGCUGUGAAGGAAAGAAGUAACAGAACAACUGCACAACAGAGAGUUGCCGGCCGGUGAGAGGCACAGAUGCGGUUCCUGCGAAUACAUUCCGGAGCUCUGCACCGAACACAGAAGUGUAAGUAGGCUGCAGCGGAGUGACAUCCGUUAACAACGUUAAAGUAUUGCUGUGGAUAGGUAAAAAAUUGCGAAGAACAGCAAAAGGAUUUUAAUGAAAGGAUUCCGAUGGCAGUACUUACUGAGGCAGUCUGGUGUGAGCCGGCUGUGAAUAAAGGUGGUAACACGAGAUUUCAGCUCUCGUCCUUUUC